rnacentral:lncRNA from 1 species
UUCAAACUCCAAAAUCAAAUUUAAAUACAAAACCUUCAAUAUUCUAAGAUUCACUCUAACCACACAAUUACAUCAUCAUAAUUGAAUAUCCAAGACAAAUGCAAUGAAAUCAAAGAAUGUCAUUAGGAUUAUAUUAUCAUCACGUGAUCUCCUUGCAUCCAUGGGCGAAAUGGGUUCAUUAGCCGCAUCACUUGGCUACAUAAAAAUGCAAAGUAUAAAAAUCAAUCGAUAAACUUUCAGUCCUUAUUAUAAACAUGUUAUAGUGAACAUCAUGCUUGUAAAUAAAGGGAAAAUACCACAAUUGCUUGCAUUAUAUUGGAAAUUAAUACUCAUACAUAAGAUAAAAUACAACCAAAGCAUAUGGAUAUUAUUGGUGGUUGUAACAGUAAUAUAUACCCAGCUCUCUACUGUCAACAUACUUCCUUUUUAUUUUUGUAUAACCCUGGUGGUCUAAUUAGCUUGGCGCAUAUGGAUUAAUUUCAUGGAGUAUCUACUGCCUCCCACCAAUACAUGUACCGAAUAAUUUUAUUCACGUUAUACCCCUGGUAACAAGAGCUAUCACUAUUUCCCACUAAAAGGUAAAGAUUGACGCAGAAUAAAUAACCAAUCAAAUGAUGUAUUCAAUAUGUAAAAGUUGGAUAUGGCUCGAAGUUCAAGGGCACCAUUCAUUCAGAAGGUUACAUGUUUAGUUCCUUCCUGUGAAACUAUGAAGCUAGCAGGAAAUGACCUUAUGACUGUACAAUAAGUUAAUGAAACAUAACUUACACCAUUGCCCACCCGAAGCUGAUAAAAAAGAACGGGACUGAAUGAAACUCUACAACUCACAAAUUUGUGCUACACAUACAGUAUGUCAAAGCACUAGAAAUGCUUAGCUAUUAUCAGGAAAUGAUUUCGAUUGAAACCUGACUCUCAUAACAAUCCGGUACACUAUCUAUGUCACAUUAGAUAAAUAGAGAUAGUCAAGACAAAUUAA